AUUGAACGCUGGCGGCAGGCCUAACACAUGCAAGUCGAACGAGUGGCGGACGGGGGAGUAAUGUCGGGGAAACUGCCUGAUGGAGGGGGCUAACUACUGGAAACGGUAGCUAAUACCGCAUACUAUAAGCUGUGCCCAGAUGGGAGUAGCUAGUUGGUGGGGUAAUGGCUGACCAAGGCGACGAGCCCUAGCUGGUCUGAGAGGAUGACCGGCCACAGUGGAGAUGAGACACGGUGCAGCAGCCUACGGGAGGCAGCAGUGGAGAAUAUUGGACAAUGGGCGGAAGCCUGAUGCAGCCAUGGCGGGUGUAUGAAGGAGGGCUUCGGGUUGUAAAGUAAUUUCAGCGGCGAGGCGUUACCCGCAGAAGAAGCACCGGCUAACUCCGUGCAAGCAGCCGCGGUAAUC
rnacentral:rRNA from 1 species